GUCCUUGUAGUUUAGUGGUUAGAGCACUCGCCUAGUAAGUGGGAGGACCCGGGUUUAAUUCCCGGGAGGGGCA